GCCUAAUCCAGAUUCCACUGGAAGCUUUGUUAUUUCUCAUGGUUGCACUGAAGUGGCAGCCCUAGUUUGGUUGACUUUGAGCAUAAAAGGUUCUUUGGUGAGCUUAAAUGAAAGCUUUCGAAGAUGUCUGAUGUAAAAAACUGCAUUUUGUUCCUGAUGCUCAUGAACCUAUGAUGAGAUUCAAGUGAUAUUGGAUUUCAAUAUACUUUAAGUGCAUAUCUAUAUAUGUGUGUCAGGUUAUUUGUUUGGAGAUGGAAGAUCCCGACACCAAUAGCUCCAGGGAACAGGGGAUUCAGUGUGGCAGGAGCCAUCUAUAUGGCUAAAAGCUCCAAGGAGUUCAUGGAACGCGAGGAACCGUAAAGUAUUUUCAUGAAAGGAACACUUUGAUUUAUAUAGUGGUGGAAGAGAUGAAGGAAGAAUUGUUUGAAUGAGUAAAACAUAUAUGGCGAAAGGCACACGGGUGACAUGAAAUGAAUUGCCAAGAUUUGAUUUCGCAAAGAUUUGAUUACUUUGUAUGUAGUAUGUAUG